rnacentral:rRNA from 1 species
GAUGAACGCUAGCGGCAGGCUUAACACAUGCAAGUCGAGGGGUAACAGGGUAGCAAUACCGCUGACGACCGGCGCACGGGUGAGUAACGCGUAUGCAACCUGCCUAUAACUGGGGAAUAGCUCCCUGAAAGGGGAAUUAACACCGCAUAACACUAUUGAUUCGCAUGGAUUAGUAGUUAAAUGUAGCGAUACAGGUUAUAGAUGGGCAUGCGUGACAUUAGCUAGUUGGUGAGGUAACGGCUCACCAAGGCUACGAUGUCUAGGGGUUCUGAGAGGAAGGUCCCCACACUGGUACUGAGACACGGACCAGACUCCUACGGGAGGCAGCAGUGAGGAAUAUUGGUCAAAUGGGCGCAAGCCUGAACCAGCCAUGUCGCGUGCAGGAAGACUGCCCUAGGGUUAAACUGCUUUUAAGUAAAGAAACACAUCUACGUGUAGAUGUCUGCCAGUAUACUAUGAAUAAGCAUCGGA